AUACUGGUCUUCCUCCUCCUCUUCCUCCUCCUCCAUGAUCUCAUUAUCUUUCUCCUCCUCCGCCUUCUCAUCAUUAAGCUGUAUCAGCAUGGUGUGUAGAGUAGCCUUCACCUCCCUCACCUCCUGCUCCAGGGACUGUGUGAGAUCCUGGUCUUUGUUCUGUAUGGCUGUCUGGAGGUCAUCCUCCAGAAUCAACAGCCUAUCACUGAUCUCCUCACACUGGUCGGUCAGCUCUAUAGUCAGGUCUGCUGUUAGCCCUGCUGCUUCACUGUCACUGUCCUCCUGAGAAAGAAAGAUAGAGAGGGACAGAGAGAAGGUGAGAGAGAGAGGGACAGAGAGAAGGUGAGAGAGAGGG